CUGGGCACAAGAGGUCUUCAGCGGUCAGAUUUGAGAUCAGUGUAUCAGUUGUCUCUGAGCGCUCUCACUGAGCCUUUUAUACGUUUCAUGCAUCACGAUAUCAGCAGGUUCUUUACAUUCUGCGUCCCGCCAUGUCAAAAUGAAACCCAGGAACAGGAGCGUGACGGAACCAGCACAAUAAAGACCAACCAGACAAGGGCAAAAAAACAAAGGCACAUGGAAGGUACUGGUCCCCAAAAGGUCAACCUUCGUCUACACAGGAAAAAAGAU